GGGGAUGACAGGUCUCGACGGGAGAGGCUGGCCCCGGAUUGCGAGCCGAUCGGCGCCGAAAUCGUAAAAUCAGCGCAAAAAACAAGUGCCAACCGCACUUCCUACGCUGCUCUGCCCCUCGCUGCAUAAGCGAUCGGUUGAGUGGCUGGCCCUCUAAGAAGGACCACGUCCGCCUGCCCCGCCCUCUGACCGGAGGCAGAGCCGGGCGUAACAAAGUCAGAGUGCCGCAUACCCAUGUCGCUAAGUGUGCGAAAGAAGGACUUUCGGGUCCCAGCGGCUGGCUGGUGAGUUCCUUUGUCGGAUGAGGGCUCGCUGGCGAAACCAAACAACCGACUACGCUCGUAGAUAUUCGAGGGACGAUUCUUUCGGACUCGGGUUCGAUUCCCGACAUCUCCACCA
rnacentral:tmRNA from 1 species